CUAGAGGAUUGGAGAGGAGAUUGGAAUUUUCGGUGUAGCAGUGAAAUGCGUAGAUAUCGAAAGGAAGACCAAUGGCGAAGGCAGAUCUCUGGACAAUUCCUGACGCUGAGGCUCGAAGGCUAGGGGAGCGAAAGGGAUUAGAUACCCCUGUAGUCCUAGCAGUAAACGGUGUGCGCUUGGUGUGGGAGGACUCGACCCCUUCUGUGCCGGAGCUAACGCGUUAAGCGCACCGCCUGGGAAGUACGGCCGCAAGGUUAAAACUCAAAGAAAUUGACGGGGACCCGCACAAGCGGUGGAGUAUGUGGCUUAAUUCGAUGCAACGCGAAGAACCUUACCUAGGCUUGACAUGCCGUCAUAGACUGUGAAAGCAGUUGUCAGUUCGGCUGGACGUGCACAGGUGCUGCAUGGCUGUCGUCAGCUCGUGUCGUGAGAUGUUCGGUUAAGUCCGGCAACGAGCGCAACCCCUGUGAACUGUUGCUAACAUUAAGUUGAGGACUCUGUUCAGACUGCCCAGUUCAACUGGGAGGAAGGUGGGGACGACGUCAAGUCAGUAUGGCCCUUACGCCUAGGGCUGCACACGUACUACAAUGCCCAGCACAAUGAGAACCGAGACCGCGAGGUGGAGGAGAUCUAGAAAACUGGGCUCAGUUCGGAUUGGAGGCUGCAACUC
rnacentral:rRNA from 1 species